GAACGCUGGACUAUACCACAACACAGAGCUCGUCAAAAAAAUGGCUUUUUGAUCAGUUUGUACAUCUUUUUACCUCUUCUCACUAUAACUGGCAUUAUUGUUUUAAGAUGGAAAAAAAGAAAUGUGUUUGAGAACAGAUCAGAAACUUCAACCGAAGGAUCAUUGGCAGACGACAGCAUUGUUACCAUCACUGGGUCUCAGAGUCAAAGUAACUGAGCAAGGACAUCAAAAGCCACAGACUGAAGAAAGGAUAUGGCAUAGAGACUCAUGGCUAACUUCCCCAACUCAAGCAUGAAAAGUCCUGUCUGUGUCUCCUUUGUUGUGGCUUUACGCUUUCGAUUUCACCAACACAAAUAAACCCUGUGACUGGAAGUGAGCAAAA